AGUUCGAUCAUGGCUCAGAUUGAACGCUGGCGGGAUGCUUUACACAUGCAAGUCGAACGGCAGCACGGACUUCGGUCUGCGGCGAGUGGCGAACGGGUGAGUAAUGUAUCGGAACGUGCCUAGUAGCGGGGAUAACUACGCGAAAGCGCAGAAGCACACCGCAUACGCCCCUCGGGGAAAGCGGGGACCUUCGGGCCUCGCACUGUCAGAGCGGCCGAUAUCGGAUUAGCCAGUUGGUGCGUAACGGCUCGUCAAGGCGACGAUCCGUAGCUGGUUUGAGAGGACGACCAGCCAUAUCACCUGAGACACGGCCCAGACUCCUACGGGAGGCAGCACGUGGGGAAUUUUGGACAAUGGGGGAAACCCCUGAUCCAUCCCGCGUGUGCGAUGAAGGCCUUCGGGUUGUAAAGCACUUUUGCAGGAGAAACGAGACGGAUAAUACCCCGUGCAACUGACGGUACCUGCAGAAUAAGCACCGCCAACUACGUGCCAGCAGCCGCGUAAUACGUAGGGUAAGCGUUAAUCGGAAUUACUGGGCGUAAAGCGUGCGCAGGCGGUUCGGAAAGAAAGAUGUGAAAUCCCAGAGCUUAACUUUGGAACUACUUCUUUAACUACCGAGCUAGAGGCCGGGAGGGAGGAAUUCCGCGUGUGUAUAGAAUGCGUAGAUAUGCGGAGGAACACCGAUGGCGAAGGCAGCCUCCUGGGAUAACACUGACGCUCAUGCACGAAAGCGUGGGGAGCAAACAGGAUUAGAUACCUGGUAGUCCACGCCCUAAACGAUGUCAACUAGCUGUUGGGGCCUUCGGGCCUUGGUAGCGCAGCUAACGGCGCGAAGUUGACCGCCUGGGGAGUACGGUCGCAAGAUUAAACCAAAGGAAUUGACGGGGACUGCACAAGCGGUGGAUGAUGUGGAUUAAUUCGAUGCAACGCGAAAAACCUUACCUACCCUUGACAUGUCUGGAAUCCCGGGAAGAGAUUUGGGAGUGCUCGCAAGAGAACCGAAUACAGGUGCCGUAUGGCUGUCGUCAGCUCGUGUCGAGAUGCUGGGUUAAGUCUCAUAACGAGCGCAACCCUUGUCAUUAGUUGCUACGAAAGGGCACUCUAAUGAGACUGCCGGUGACAAACCGGAGGAAGGUGGGGAUGACGUCAAGUCCUCAUGGCCCUUAUGGGUAGGGCUUCACACGUCAUACAAUGGUCGGGACAGAGGGUCGCCAACCAUGAGGGGGAGCCAAUCCCAGAAACCCGAUCGUAGUCCGGAUCGCAGUCUGCAACUCGACUGCGUGAAGUCGGAAUCGCUAGUAAUCGCGGAUCAGCAUGUCGCGGGUGAAUACGUUCCCGGGUCUUGUACACACCGCCCGUCACACCAUGGAGUGGGUUUUACCAGAAGUAGUUAGCCCAACUGGUAAGGAGGGCGAUUACCACGACCCAUGACUGGGGUGAAGUCGUAACAAGGUGC
rnacentral:rRNA from 1 species